GACGAACGCUGGCGGCGUGCUUAACACAUGCAAGUCGAACGGUAAGGCCCUUCGGGGUACACGAGUGGCGAACGGGUGAGUAACACGUGGGUGAUCUGCCCUGCACUUCGGGAUAAGCCUGGGAAACUGGGUCUAAUACCGGAUAGGACCACUGCCUACAUGGGUGGUGGUGGAAAGCUUUUGCGGUGUGGGAUGGGCCCGCGGCCUGUCAGCUUGUUGGUGGGGUGAUGGCCUACCAAGGCGACGACGGGUAGCCGGCCUGAGAGGGUGACCGGCCACACUGGGACUGAGAUACGGCCCAGACUCCUACGGGAGGCAGCAGUGGGGAAUAUUGCACAAUGGGCGCAAGCCUGAUGCAGCGACGCCGCGUGAGGGAUGACGGCCUUCGGGUUGUAAACCUCUUUCAGCACCGACGAAGCGCAAGUGACGGUAGGUGCAGAAGAAGGACCGGCCAACUACGUGCCAGCCGCCGCGGUAAAAC
rnacentral:rRNA from 1 species